GUCCACGCUGUAAACGAUGAGCGCUAGGUGUCGGGUCGAGAGAUUCGGUGCCGGAGCAAACGCAAUAAGCGCUCCACCUGGGGAGUACGAUCGCAAGAUUGAAACUCAAAGGAAUUGACGGGGGCCCCGCACAAGCGGUGGAGUAUGUGGUUUAAUUCGAAGCAACGCGAAGAACCUUACCAAGGCUUGACAUCCCAAUGAAAAGUGUAGAGAUACACUCGCUCUUCGGAGCAUUGGAGACAGGUGGUGCAUGGUUGUCGU
rnacentral:rRNA from 1 species